AUGGCGAGCAGAGGGCGUGAGUACAUGAGUUUGGAUGUGGAUGUUACUUCAGGGAGGAAGUUGGUUACAAUUUUCAUUUGUAUGAUGCAGCAGGCACAAACUAAUUUACAUAAUUUGUUGGUGUUGCGGUCUCUCCCUAUCUUAACAUUGUCUUCCGCUGCAAGGAGAGGAAAUUUGUGUAUAUCACACCUAUCAGCUACAUCCCAUGGAGAGGAAUUUUGUGUCAGGCAUUGUCAUUGGAGAAGCUUUCACAGGCAUGGCCCUUCUUUCAGUCAUAAGAUUUACAGAUAUACUGAUUCUAAAAGAUUUGAUUCACAGGAAAUGGAUUGUAAAUUGCAAGUGAGUUGGGGCUUCUGA
rnacentral:rRNA from 1 species